GAGCUAAAGAAGCUGGAGAAGUAUGUGGCCAAUGUGGGCGAGGACGGUAACCACAUACCGCUGGCCGGAGUCCAUGAUAUGAAUACCGGCAUGACGCCUCUGAUGUACGCCACGAAGGACAAUAAGACGGCCAUAAUGGAUCGCAUGAUUGAGCUGGGCGCCGACGUGGGAGCCCGUAAUAAUGAUAAUUAUAAUGUGCUACACAUUGCGGCAAUGUAUUCGCGUGAG